rnacentral:rRNA from 1 species
GCCUCGUCUAAUCUCGGAAUCUAAGCAGGGUCUUGCCUGGUUAGUGCUUGGAUGGGAGACCUUCUAGGAAUACCAGGUGCUGUAAGCU